rnacentral:lncRNA from 1 species
UUUUUCCUUCUUUAAUUUGUCCUCUUGCCCUCAAGCCUUGAUCGAGCUUCGCCUCCACCCGAGGAUCUUCUCCUCCUCCCUCCUCUCCGGCGUCGACCGACCGGCACCAAGUCCCGAUCGAUCCAGGCCUGCCUCCGCCCGAGGUAUUUUCUAAAAGCAAAGACUUCCUUUGUUAUCAAACUAGUCUGUCAUGUUUCUAUUGCAAUUUAAGGUUCUAGAUGAAAGAUGGAUCAAAUUUAGGACUGAGAUUGAAUACACGGCUAUCGAGUGGAAAUGGAGGCAGUACUUCAUGUGUUUCUUAUCUCUGAAUACUUCCUUAGUCUUUGCAUGUGUUUUGCUUUGCG